rnacentral:rRNA from 1 species
AGGUCAAGUGAAGAAGAGCAUAAGGCGGAUGCCUUGGCACUGGGAGCCGACGAAGGACGUGACAAGCUGCGAAAAGCUGCGGGGAGGAGCAAAUAUCUGCUGAUCCGCAGAUAUCCGAAUGAGGGAACUCACCUGUGGUAAUGCACAGGUAUCCAUAACUGAAUCAAUAGGUUAUGAGAAGGAAACGCGGGGAACUGAAACAUCUAAGUACCCGUAGGAAGAGAAAGAAACAUCGAUUUCCUAAGUAGCGGCGAGCGAAAGGGAAAGAGGCCAAACCGAUAGCUUGCUAUCGGGGUUGCGGACACUCAAGAUGUAUCCAUUGUUGAUAGUCGAAUAUGUUUGGAAAGGCAAACCGAAGAAGGUAAAAGUCCCGUAGACGAAAUUGACAAGGAGCAGAGUGGAUCCAGAGUAGGACCGGACACGUGAAACCCGGUCUGAAGCCGGGGGGCCCACCCCCCAAGCCUAAAUACUACCCAGUGACCGAUAGAGAAUAGUACCGUGAGGGAAAGGUGAAAAGAACCCCGGGAGGGGAGUGAAAAAGAACCUGAAACCUUAUGCUUACAAGCAGAGGGAGCGCAAGUGACCUCGUACUUUUUGUAGAACGGGCCAACGAGUUAUGGUAUGCAGCGAGGUUAAGGUGUAAAGCACUGGAGCCGAAGUGAAAGCGAGUCUUAAUAGGGCGAGAAGUUGCAUGCUGUAGACCCGAAACCGGGUGACCUAUCCAUGAGCAGGUUGAAGUAACUGUAAAAGGUUAUGGAGGACCGAACCCAUAUCUGUUGAAAAAGGUUGGGAUGACUUGUGGAUAGCGGUGAAAUUCCAAUCGAACUCGGAGAUAGCUGGUUCUCCUCGAAAUAGCUUUAGGGCUAGCCUCACAGAAAGAUACCCGGAGGUAGAGCACUGAAUGUUCUAGGGGCCUUCACCGGUUACCGAAAACUAUCAAACUCCGAAUGCCGGAAUAUCAUAUGUGGGAGUCAGACUAUGUGAGAUAAGUUUCAUAGUCGAAAGGGAAACAGCCCAGACCAACAGCUAAGGUCCCAAAAUGUAAGUUAAGUGGAAAAGGAUGUGGAGCUGCAUAAACAGCUAGGAUGUUGGCUUAGAAGCAGCCACUCAUUUAAAGAGUGCGUAAUAGCUCACUAGUCGAGUGGCUCUGCGCCGAAGAUAAAC